GCACAGCAGGCCAAGCAGCAUCAGAGGAGCAGGAAGGCUGACGUUUCGGGUCUAGACCAUGUGAUAAAGAUCUUGAAAACUGCCAGCUACAGAACAUGAAGUCUGGUUUCCUGGUACAGUCUGUGCUUCACGAUUCCAACUCCCAAUUCCACAACAAUUACAAAGGAGCUGAAAAUGCCUCACAAGCUGGAGUCAACUAGGAUGGCAGGAGCUCUUUUCCCGCAGGUUCAACUCAGCCUCUGUGAAGGCAGCUGGUCCCCAAUUAGUGAUUAGCUGACGGCCCUUUGGACCUACAAGAAUUAAAAAAACAAACAAUGAAAAGGAGCAAUUCAAUAUGCACCGAAUACGAAUAAUAUCUUAAAUUAAAUAAUGAACUAAAAACUACACUGUGCAUGUUUGAGGCCAAGGAUAAUG